AACGAACGCUGGCGGCAUGCCUAAUACAUGCAAGUCGAACGAGAUCUUCGGAUCUAGUGGCGCACGGGUGCGUAACGCGUGGGAAUCUGCCCUUGGGUUCGGAAUAACUUCUGGAAACGGAAGCUAAUACCGGAUGAUGACGUAAGUCCAAAGAUUUAUCGCCCAAGGAUGAGCCCGGGUAGGAUUAGCUAGUUGGUGAGGUAAAGGCUCACCAAGGCGACGAUCCUUAGCUGGUCUGAGAGGACGACCAGCCACACUGGGACUGAGACACGGCCCAGACUCCUACGGGAGGCAGCAGUGGGGAAUUUUGGACAAUGGGCGAAAGCCUGAUCCAGCCAUACCGCGUGAUCGAUGAAGGCCUUAGGGUUGUAAAGAUCUUUCAGUUGGGAAGAUAAUGACGGUACCAACAGAAGAAGCCCCGGCUAACUCCGUGCCAGCCGCCGCAGUAAGAC
rnacentral:rRNA from 1 species